rnacentral:rRNA from 1 species
AGUGAACGCUGGCGGUAGGCCUAACACAUGCAAGUCGAACGGCAGCACAGUAAGAGCUUGCUCUUACGGGUGGCGAGUGGCGGACGGGUGAGGAAUACAUCGGAAUCUACUUUUUCGUGGGGGAUAACGUAGGGAAACUUACGCUAAUACCGCAUACGACCUACGGGUGAAAGCAGGGGAUCUUCGGACCUUGCGCGAUUGAAUGAGCCGAUGUCGGAUUAGCUAGUUGGCGGGGUAAAGGCCCACCAAGGCGACGAUCCGUAGCUGGUCUGAGAGGAUGAUCAGCCACACUGGACCUGAGACCCGGUCCAGCCUCCUACGGGGGGCCGCGGUGGGGACUAUUGGACAAUGGGCGCAAGCCUGACCAGCCAUACCGCGUGGGUGAAGAAGGCCUUCGGGUUGUAAAGCCCUUUUGUUGGGAAAGAAAAGCAGCAGGUUAAUACCCCGCUGUUCUGACGGUACCCAAAGAAUAAGCACCGGCUAACUUCGUG